AGUGAACGCUGGCGGUAGGCCUAACACAUGCAAGUCGAACGGCAGCACAGUAAGAGCUUGCUCUUACGGGUGGCGAGUGGCGGACGGGUGAGGAAUACAUCGGAAUCUACUUUUUCGUGGGGGAUAACGUAGGGAAACUUACGCUAAUACCGCAUACGACCUACGGGUGAAAGCAGGGGAUCUUCGGACCUUGCGCGAUUGAAUGAGCCGAUGUCGGAUUAGCUAGUUGGCGGGGUAAAGGCCCACCAAGGCGACGAUCCGUAGCUGGUCUGAGAGGAUGAUACGCCACACUGGAACUGAGCCACGGUCCAGACUCCUACGGGAGGCAGCAGUGGGGAAUAUUGGACAAUGGGCGCAAGCCUGAUCCAGCCAUACCGCGUGGGUGAAGAAGGCCUUCGGGUUGUAAAGCCCUUUUGUUGGGAAAGAAAAGCAGCAGGUUAAUACCCCGCUGUUCUGACGGUACCCAAAGAAUAAGCACCGGCUAACUUCGUG
rnacentral:rRNA from 1 species